rnacentral:rRNA from 1 species
UACGUAGGGUGCGAGCGUUGUCCGGAAUUAUUGGGCGUAAAGGGCUCGUAGGCGGUCUGUCGCGUCGGAUGUGAAAAUCCAGGGCUCAACCCUGGACCUGCAUUCGAUACGGGCAGACUAGAGUUCGGCAGGGGAGACUGGAAUUCCUGGUGUAGCGGUGAAAUGCGCAGAUAUCAGGAGGAACACCGGUGGCGAAGGCGGGUCUCUGGGCCGAUACUGACGCUGAGGAGCGAAAGCGUGGGGAGCGAACAGG